CAAUAUGGCGUGAUUCAAUUGACAAGACAAGUUGGUACAUCGUUCAUUGUUUAUAAUUGUGAUUAAUGCUCGUUGAAAUCACACAAUUCGAAUAAUUUAACAUCACAACAUUAGGAACCGUUUCGAGUGAUAGACUAGCCGAGUCAGUUUUGUGUUAUUUUUUUAAUGUGCGGUUAAGUUCUCCAGCAUGAUGAAGUUGUACAAAGAGAGACUCCUCUCCGAUGCCCAGUUAAAACGUUUAGGUGAACACCAGUAUUCGUGUCAAAGUGUUAGUAUUUUGGACAAGUUACUGCAGCCCUAUUGGAAUUGGCUGACGUCGAAAGUGCCCAUUUGGCUCGCACCUAACCUCAUUACAAUUUUGGGGCUCAUUGUAAAUAUUGUCACGGCUUUAAUUCUUAUAUGGUUUUCACCAGACGCAAAGCAGGAGGCCCCCCGAUGGGCGUGCGGCUUGUGCGGGUUCGGCCUGUUCGUGUACCAAAGCCUGGACGCCAUCGACGGCAAGCAGGCGCGAAGAACCGGCACUGCGAACCCUUUAGGUGAGCUCUUCGACCACGGUUGCGACUCAAUAUCUACGGUUUUCGUGGCGUUGUCGGCAUGUAUUGCCGUCCAGUUGGGGUAUUAUCCCGGAUGGAUGUUUUUUCAGUGUUUUUGUGCUAUGACACUUUUCUAUUGCGCGCAUUGGCAGACGUACGUUUCCGGGACGUUACGUUUCGGGAGGAUUGACGUGACGGAGGCGCAAUACACCAUCAUGGGGAUCCUCCUCUUGUCGACGAUUUUCGGGCCCAGCGUUUGGUCCACGAAGUUUUUUAGCGGUACUGUUUGUUUAUGGUACUUAAUUCCCUUAAGCACUUUAAUAUGCGGCCUGUGGUCGCUUUACCAAAGUAUUAUUGUGAUAUUCACCGGCGGUGUCGGCAAGAACGGAUCGACAGUUGCUGUUUUCGGGUUUACUUUCCAUUGGGCUCACGUGGUGUGUACCGUUUUUUACCUGGGAUUUUUCCAGUUGUUUUACACUUUUUUCGAACGUAUCAAAGAGGGAGGAUGUGGCAAGAACGGAUCGACAGUUGCUGGAACAAGUGUCUUAUCACCCGUUAUACCCUUUUCGAUGGUGCUGGUACCAGCGUUUAUCAUUUACCAAAAGUCAACGCAACACGUGUAUGAGGAACACCCAGCGUUGUACAUUUUGGCGUUCGGAUUAGUCGCUGCGAAAGUAACCAAUCGUCUUGUGGUUGCUCAUAUGACUAAAAGUGAGAUGGAUUAUAUGGAUUGGUCGCUUCUAGGGCCCACUAUGCUCUUUUUGAACCAAUAUUUUAACACUUUCAUCAAAGAAUAUUACAUUCUAUGGUUAUGCAUGAUUUGGGUGAUCGUGGAUUUGCUGCGCUACUGUUACCAAAUUUGCCAGGAAAUUUGUGAUUUCCUCCACGUCGAAUUGUUUAGAAUACCUUAUCCUGGAGGACCUCAGCGAGUGGUGACGCUCCCUUCAGAGAAAAAUGGUACGAACCUAAAGUCAGUAAAAUCACGUAAAAGUAAACAUUAUUAAAUCUAACAACGUUGUUCUAAGUUAUUCUUUUCGAAACGUUAGUUUGUGCCAAACGUGGUGUUUAGAUUUACUCCAAUUGUGAUGAUUGUGUUAAAAUUUUAUUGUUUGUUGGCGACGUGAUUUUGUUGUAAAUAAUUGAUGUUUGUUCUCUUUUAGUUAAAUUUCUUACACUUUGAUGAUAUAACACUGCAGUACUAAUUUGCGUAAUUAUAAAGCUUUUUGUGAGUUCAGAUCGAAUCUCUUCCUUCUCUAAAUCAAAACAGUUCGUUAAAAAUGUAAUGUCAUGAUUGCUCUUUGGAUGUGUAGAAGGAAACACGCACAUGAGAUUUGUUGUUACACAAUGUAUAAUUUGACAUAAAAUAUUAUUACAUUUAUUUUGCUCUAUUAUUUUCAAUCCUCUCCACUCGUAACGUUUCCUACACUUGUUGGUUAACUUGAAGGGUAAAUCUGAAAAGAAAAUACACCUUUCUGACGGAGAAGACGUUGUGCCUUUGUUACAAUCGGAAGAGAAUUCGUAAACAUUUCCACUGCUGCCGCAAUCUGUGCCUUGAUCGCUUACAAAACAUAUUUUGUAAACAUUUACUAGUAUUACCAUUUUUAACUUAUUUUCAAUUGUAUGAUUCCACGAUUAAAUUUUUUUUGCUUA